AUGGUUAAUUAUUCUCAAUGGCACACCAAAAGAUCUACUAAUAAAAAAGUGCAUGCGAUAGAAGAAAUUAAUGUUUUGAGUGGGAAGAUGGAAGAACUUAUGAAAUUAUUUGCUACUAAAAGUGUUUCUUCUGAUCCUAAUGAUAUGCCUUUGUCUACUUUGAUUGAGAAUAAUAAUGAAUCUAUGGAUGUGAAUUUUGUUGGUAGGAAUAAUUUUGGUAACAACGCGUAUAGAGGAAACUUUAAUCCUAGGCCAUUCCCUAGUAAUUCCUCUAAUAAUUAUGGUAAUUCCUACAACAUUUCUUAUGGAAAUUUUAAUAAGAUUCCCUCUGAAUUUGAGACUAGUGUUAAGGAGUUUAUGAAUUCGCAAAAGAAUUUUAAUGCUUUGCUUGAAGAAAAAUUGCUUAUGGUUCAUGAAUUGGCUAGGAACGUUGAUAGAAUUUCUCUUGAUGUUGAUUCUUUGAAACUUAGAUCUAUUCCACCUAAGCAUGAUAUCAAUGAGUCUCUCAAAUCCAUGAGAAUUUCCAUUGAUAAGUGCAAAGAAAGAACCGCUAGGAUGCGUGCUAAGAAAGAUUGCUUUGUGAAAGCGUGUUCUUCUAGUUUUUAUGAAAAUAAAGAUGAAGGUCUAAAAGUUAUUGAUGUGUCUCAUAUUAAAUCUUUGUUUUGCAAUACGAUUCUUGAUAAUGAUGGGACUGGAGAUGAGUCACCUUUAUCUAGAAGGCGUCCCAAAAAUUCGGAGUUUUUACAUCUUGAUGCAAAAAUUCGUAAAAGUGGGAUUGAAGAGAUCAAAACUUUAGAUAUUAAUGAACCCACUAUUUUGGAUUUCAAGGAAUUUAAUUAUGAUAAUUUCUCUUUGAUAGAUUGUAUUUCUUUGUUGCAAUCCAUGCUAAAUUCUCCUCAUGCUUAUAGUCAAAAUAAAACUUUUACUAAACAUAUUGUUGAUGCUUUAAUGCAAUCUUAUGAGGAAAAACUUGAGUUGGAAGUUUCUAUCCCUAGAAAACUUUAUGAUGAGUGGGAACCUACUAUUAAAAUUAAAAUUAAAGAUCAUGAAUGCUAUUCUUUGUGUGAUUUGGGUGCUAGUGUUUCCACGAUUCCAAAAACUUUGUGUGAUUUGCUAGGUUUCCGUGAAUUUCAUGAUUGUUGUUUAAACUUGCACCUUGUGGAUUCCACUAUUAAGAAACCUAUGGGAAGAAUUAAUGAUGUUCUUAUUGUUGCAAAUAGGAACUAUGUGCCCGUAGAUUUCAUUGUUCUUGAUAUAGAUUGCAAUCCUUCAUGUCCUAUUAUUCUUGGUAUACCUUUCCUUAGAACGAUUCGUGCAAUUAUUGACAUGAAGGAAGGAAAUAUUAGAUUCCAAUUUCCGUUAAGGAAAGGCAUGGAACACUUCCCUAGAAAGAAAAUAAAAUUACCAGAUGAAUCUAUUAUGAGAGCUACUUAUGGAUUGCCUACCAAAGAAGGCAAUACCUAG
rnacentral:rRNA from 1 species